CUAUACUUAGAUUCUAACUUCUUAUGGAGAGGACAGUGUGUGGUGGUAGUUGACUGGGGUGGUCGCCUCCUAAAGAGUAACGGAGGCUUGCAAAGGUACCCUCAGCAUGGACGGUAACCAUGCGAAGAGCGCAUUAGUAGAAGGGUGCUUGACUGAGAGAACGACGGUUCGAACAGGGACGAAAGUCGGCUAAAGUGAUCCGGUGUUUCCGCAUGGAAGGGACAUCGCUCAAAGGAUAAAAGGUACUCCGGGGAUAACAGGCUGAUCUCCCCCAAGAGAUCACAUCGACGGGGAGGUUUGGCACCUCGAUGUCGGCUCGUCACAUCCUGGGGCUGGAGAAGGUCCCAAGGGGUUGGGCUGUUCGCCCAUUAAAGUGGCACGCGAGCUGGGUUCAGAACGUCGCAAGACAGUUCGGUCUCUAUCUGUUGUGGGCGUAGGAGUAUUGAGGAGGUCUGGCUCUAGUACGAGAGGACC
rnacentral:rRNA from 1 species